UUGACAGCUUGGAAGACUGAAGUCCUGUGUUUAAUCCACAGACCAAGUACAGCAUGGGCAGCAGCAAUACAAGCUUCCCCACAUCACUCCGCCAAUGUGCCUCAACUCUGACCUGGAGGGACCAUCUCUAGGGGUGAGAGGGUAGUUCAUUCUACAUGCUGAUUCUGUCCAUGGAGUUC
rnacentral:sRNA from 1 species